GGAGAGGUAGCGUAGUGGCCUAACGCGCUCGCCUGGAACGCGAGUAGGGGUAACACCCUCGUGGGUUCGAAUCCCACCCUCUCCG
rnacentral:tRNA from 3 species